rnacentral:rRNA from 1 species
AGCAAAUAGAUACCCCGGUAGUCCGCACCGUAAACGAUGAUCACUUGGUGUUGGAGGUAUUGACCCCUUCAGUGCCGAAAGCUAAACGCGUUAAGUGCUCCGCCUGGGAAGUACGGUCGCAAGAUUAAAACCCAAAGAAAUUGACGGGGGCCCGCACAAGCAGUGGAGCAUGUGGUUCAAUUCGAUGCAACGCGAAAAACCUUACCUGGGUUUGAAGUGCUAGUGAAUGUGGUAGAGAUAUCACAGGCCUUGGGACGACUAGUAUCAGGUGCUGCAUGGCUGUCGUCAGCUCGUGUCGUGAGAUGUCGGGUUAAGUCCCAUAACGAGCGCAACCCUACUGUUAGUUGCCAGCAUUAAGUUGGGCACUCUAAACAGACUGCCGGCGUUAAGUCCGGACGGAAGGC